CAUCUACUCCCUCCGUCCAGAAAUACUUGUCGAAGAAAUGGAUGUAUCUAUACGUAUUUUAGUUCUAGAUACAUCCAUUUUUAUCUAUUUCUCCGACAAGUAUUUUCCGGACGGAGGGAGUACAUC
rfam:Triticum aestivum genome assembly, contig: Triticum_aestivum_CS42_TGACv1_scaffold_434024_5DL